AUUAACCCUAUAACGCCAAACGUAUCAUAUGUGAUACAUGAGUUUUUGAGACCUCCAAAUGAGCAGUGUUACAUUUUUUUCCCUAAAAAACCCGAUGUAUACAAUUAGACACAUGUAGUGCACUGAUAAUCCAACAGGGGGUAGUAACUUUCUCACCAGAGGCCUUUCCACUGAUACUACAAGACUGCCAUGGCAAAGGACUGGGACACCUGCGUUUUCAGCAGGAAAACUUUGCCAAUUUUAGAAGGUUAAGAUGGCAAAGACAUACACUGUUGAAGAUAUUCUGAAUAUGAUUAUGGAUGGGAAUUCAAGUGACAUUGAGCAGCUAGGGGAGGAUGAGGAUGAGGAUGAGGAAUGGACUCCUGCAAGGUUUGAGGAACACCCAGAUAGCGGCGAUGAUGACCACCUGAAGAAUGUCACGCUGUUGACAAAAUCAUGGUGCCUUUCAAAGGAAAAUCACAUCUACGGUGCUACAUGCCAGGAAAACCUCACAAGUGGGGGUUCAAGAUGUGGGGAUGUGGUGGGCAAAGUGGCUAUCUAUAUGACUUUGAUGUGUGCCAAAGGGGAGGAAAUCUUGACCAAGAGAAAUCUGAUGUUGGUGCUACAGGAGAUGUUGUCCUGAAAAUGACCUCAACCCUUCCAGCAGGAAAGAAUCACAAAGUUUUUGCUGACAAUUUCUUUACGUCAGUUCCAUUGGUAGAGCACUUGAAACAAAGAGGAAUCUACUACAUAGGCACAGUCCGAAUGAACAGGGUGAAGAAUUGCCAACUGAUGGAUGAGAAAGAACUGAAGAAAAACGGAAGAGGGUCACUGGAUUUCAGAGUAAACCAGGAAAACAACAUCAUUGUGAGAUGGUAUGACAACAAAGCUGUGAACCUGCUCUCUUCUUUUGUUGGUGUUGAACCACUGGGCAGUGUGAAGCGUUGGGAUUGAAAAGCCAAAACCCACAUAAUGGUUCCCAGACCGGCCAUUGUUGACACUUACAACAAGUUCAUGGGAGGCAUUGACCUUCUUGAUAUGCUUUCUGCACUGUACAAGUUCAGCUUCAGAUCCCGAAGAUGGUACAUCUGCAUUUGGUGGCACACCAUCACAGUGGCAGUAAUCAAUGCAUGGAUCCGCUACAGAAGAAACCUGGAGAAACUGCAUCCCAGGCAGAAACACCUGCCCCUGCGAAGGUUUCAGGCCUCUGUUGCCACUGCCCUCACAAGUGCAUGAAAGGUCAAAAAGUGUGGCAGACCUUUGUCCUCUCCGGAAGCAACGCCAACCCCUCCUAGGAGGAGGAAAACCACUGAGUUGCCCCCUGAUGUGAGAAAGGAUGGCCUCAAUCAUUUCCCAACAUGGGAAACCCGACAGAGAUGCAAGCACUGUGUGGGCCACUUUGCCCAUGUGUUCUGUAAGAAAUGCAGAGUGCAUCUUUGUCUGAACAAGGACAGAAACUGUUUCCAAGCCUAUCAUAAUGCAAAAUAAAAAGGUUGUGAGCCACAAUAUGUCUAGAAAAUAAUUGAAAUGUUAUGUUCUCGAGACUGCCACCCUGCCAGUUCCAUUGGUGGAUUUGUUAUUGCUGCAUUGUUGUAGCACUUUUUAUGUUUGGAAUUAACAAUUUAUCUGAGUUAUUUGUGUUUUAUUAUGUUUUUGUUUGUUCAAGAAAAAAUCAUCUUUGAGCAUUGUGACCCGAUGUAUCAAAUAUGAUACAAAAUGAAACUCAUAUAUGGAAAAUGAUAUUUGAAAAAAAAUUUUUUUGUUUGUUCAGAGGGACCAAUAAAGGCUCCAGUUUCAAAGAAUUGGAAUUUUCUGUCAGUUAUUUCAUGGUGUGGGCUUUAUAGGGUUAA